rnacentral:rRNA from 1 species
AACGAACGCUGGCGGCAGGCUUAACACAUGCAAGUCGAGCGCCCCGCAAGGGGAGCGGCAGACGGGUGAGUAACACGUGGGAACGUACCCUUUACUACGGAAUAGCUCCGGGAAACUGGAAUUAAUACCGUAUGUGCCCUUCGGGGGAAAGAUUUAUCGGUAAAGGAUCGGCCCGCGUUGGAUUAGCUAGUUGGUGGGGUAAAGGCCUACCAAGGCGACGAUCCAUAGCUGGUCUGAGAGGAUGAUCAGCCACAUUGGGACUGAGACACGGCCCAAACUCCUACGGGAGGCAGCAGUGGGGAAUAUUGGACAAUGGGCGCAAGCCUGAUCCAGCCAUGCCGCGUGAGUGAUGAAGGCCCUAGGGUUGUAAAGCUCUUUCACCGGUGAAGAUAAUGACGGUAACCGGAGAAGAAGCCCCGGCUAACUUCGUGCCAGCAGCCGCGGUAAU